GUAAUAACGCACAGAACAUAAAGAGCUAUAAUAAGCAAAAGUAUAAACGAAGCGCGAAAGCAAAAGCACACCUUCGGUUCAAAGGGUGAACAACUCUGCAUCAUUGAAAAAGCAUUUGCUGAAGGCCCAGGAUGAGCCACGCACACAGCCUGAGAUUCUGGCCGUCUCAGGAUCGUCCUCCCAGUGAAGCGGCUCAGACCCGGCUGGCCAGAGGCGCCCAGAGCCAUGUCAGAACUUUGAGCAAGUCCUGGUGACAGGGACCGGCUGUCACCCACCGGUCUUCCCAGCCCGACUUCAAGAUGCUGAGCCUGAAGCUACCCAGGCUGCUCAGCAUGGAGCAGGUGCCCCAGGUGUUCCACGAGCAGGGCAUCCUCUUCGGCUACCGACAUCCACAGAGUUCCGCCACUGCCUGCCUCCUCAGCCUUUUUCAAAUGACCAAUGAGACCCUCAACAUCUGGACGCACUUGCUGCCCUUCUGGUUCUUCUCGUGGAGGUUUGUGAGCACCCUGCAAGUGACGGACAUCCUGCAUGACAGCUACUCCUGGCCUCUGCUCGUGUACAUGGGCGCCAGCUGCUUGUUCCCCCUGGCGUCCAGCUGCGCACACACCUUCAGCUCCAUGUCCAGGAACGCCCGCCACAUCUGCUACUUCCUGGACUACGGCGCCGUCAACCUCUUCAGCCUGGGCUGUGCCAUCGCCUACUCUGCCUAUGUUUUCCCGGACACGCUGGUGAGCACCACCUUCCAUGACUACUACCUGACCCUGGCUGUGCUGAACACCAUCAUUAGCAUCUGGCUCUCCUGCUACUCCAGAUUCGGCUUGGCAGCUGGAGAGGCUGGUUCGUUUGCCCUUGGGGAAGUACUUUAUCAGGCCGAGCGCCAUGUCUCAAGUCGCAGGAAAUCCAUGUUUUGGGGGAUGGCCCUCGCCAACCAGAGCCAGCUUUCUUCCUGUGUAUUCCUGUUCGCCGGGGAAAGUGCGGAGAACGAAGCCACCUUGUACCACCAGAAGCACGUGGCCGUGACCCUCCUGGCCUCUUUCUUCUACUCUGCGCAUCUGCCAGAGCGCCUGGCCCCUGGACGCUUCGACUACAUCGGUCACAGCCACCAGCUGUUUCACGUGUGUGUGAUCCUGGCCACACACAUGCAGAUGGAAGCCAUCCUUCUGGACAAGACUCUGAGGAAAGAAUGGCUGCUGACCCACGGCAGGCCCCUGUUGUUCGCCCAGAUAGCCGGAGCCAUGCUUCUGUGCCUCAUCUUCAGCCUCAGCAACAUAGUUUAUUUCUCAGCUGCUCUGUAUCGGAUUCCUGAGCCGGAAUUACAUAAAAAGGAAACCUAA
rnacentral:lncRNA from 1 species